GGGCGAAUGGUUUAGUGGUAUAAUACUCCCUUAGCAAGAACUACUUCAUCUGGGAGUGGUCCAGGGUUCGAUUCCCUGUUCGUCCA